UACGGAGGGUGCAAGCGUUAAUCGGAUUUAUUGGGCGUAAAGGGCGCGUAGGCGGACGAAAAGUCGGACGUGAAAUCCCAGGGCUUAACCCUGGAACAGCAUCCGAAACUUUUUGUCUAGAGGGUAGGCGGAGAAAACGGAAUUCCACAAGUAGCGGUGAAAUGCGUAGAUAUGUGGAAGAACACCGGUGGCGAAGGCGGUUUUCUAGCUUAUUCCUGACGCUAAAGCGCGAAAGCAAGGGGAUCAAACAGGAUUAGAUA
rnacentral:rRNA from 1 species